rnacentral:rRNA from 1 species
UACGUAGGUGGCAAGCGUUAUCCGGAAUUAUUGGGCGUAAAGCGCGCGCAGGUGGUUUCUUAAGUCUGAUGUGAAAGCCCACGGCUCAACCGUGGAGGGUCAUUGGAAACUGGGAGACUUGAGUGCAGAAGAGGAAAGUGGAAUUCCAUGUGUAGCGGUGAAAUGCGUAGAGAAUAUGGAGGAACACCAGUGGCGAAGGCGACUUUCUGGUCGUGAUAACUGACACUGAGGCGCGAAAGCGUGGGGAGCAAACAGG